rnacentral:rRNA from 1 species
AGAGUUUGAUCCUGGCUCAGAUUGAACGCUGGCGGUAUGCUUAACACAUGCAAGUCGAACGGUAACAGGCAGAGCUUGCUCUGCGCUGACGAGUGGCGGACGGGUGCGUAACGCGUGGGAAUUUACCUUGUAGUGGGGGAUAGCCCGGAGAAAUCCGGAUUAAUACCGCAUAAUCUCUACGGAGCAAAGUGGGGGAUCUUCGGACCUCACGCUAUUAGAUGAGCCCGCGUUAGAUUAGCUUGUUGGUGAGGUAAUGGCUCACCAAGGCUAUGACAUCUAACUGGUUUGAGAGGAUGAUCAGUCACACUGGAACUGAGACACGGUCCAGACUCCUACGGGAGGCAGCAGUGGGGAAUAUUGCACAAUGGACGAAAGUCUGAUGCAGCAACGCCGCGUGGAGGAUGACACAUUUCGGUGCGUAAACUCCUUUUAUAUAGGAAGAUAAUGACGGUACUAUAUGAAUAAGCACCGCUAACU